GUAGGCAUAGUUUAACAAAAACAUUAGAUUGUGAUUCUAGGAAUAAGGGUUAGAACCCCCUUGCCCACC
rnacentral:tRNA from 1 species